CCCAGAAGUUGCCUCUUUAACUAAUAAAUACAGUGCCCUAGGAGGAGUGCAGGCCUGGAAAGCUGAUGGCAAUUUCAACUACAUUAAGCUUCAGCUGUGAGGCCAAGUGGACGCUAGACAGAGCGUGAAGAGUUGGCAGAAGAAAAAGGGAAAGAGAGAACCAGGAAGGGUUACAGGAGCAAAGGCCCCGUGUUUGCAGGUCUUAGGAUGUCGAAAUCCUGCCGCUGGCUCUAAAAGCCUUGGCGUCGUGGGAAACAAACAAACAAAGCAAAAACAUCUAUUCAUCUGGAUUUUAUUCAUUUGUUUUAAAUACAAACAAAAGGAGAGAGGAGACAUGGUUAUUUCUGCAGCAACUAUUUCAAAUGCAACUUAUUCCAUCGCUCCAGGUGUUCCAAUGGUGUUUGUCACCGUAAGACCCACGGGGCUAGUUCCGACCAUUAUACGAAGGAUGGAUAUGUGCAUUCGUUAUAUUCUUAGCACUCAGUCC
rnacentral:lncRNA from 1 species